ACAGGAACUGUUCAGUUCCCACCCUCAGUGGGCACCACACACCCCACUUCCAGCAGAGUCCUGCCUCCUCCCAAUCCCCACAGACACACACAUUGAUCCUCAUCCUCAGCUCCUUGCAGAUGGAGCCCACAAAACUCUAACCAAACUGGAGGCUGGCAUGGGAGAAGUGCUUCUGGUUCACUCUCCCUACCCUCUCCCUCCUAACCCUCUCCUUGCCUGACAGGGGAGCCCCUGUGGCCUGGACUCUAGGGGAUGCCGCCACCAGAAACCCCUCUGCCAAUCCCUACCUUGCACCCUGGGAACUGCAGUAACUUAUUCUCAAAGGCUUUAAACACAGAGAUCCUCUCAGCGGCCGUGGGCCUGCCCCUUGUCCUAGCCCUGCCACGUGAGGGUCCAGCCUCCAGGGACAGGCACUGCCCACCAACGGCAAAUCCAAAGUUCUUUUAAAAAAAAA
rnacentral:sRNA from 1 species